UUACGGUUUUUGCUAAGAUUAAGCUUGGAACACACAAAGCAUGAAAGUGGUGGCAUUUGUAAAAUUAUACAGUAUUUUCCGGACUCCAGUAACUGAUCCUUUCUGCAUUGAAUCUUUCUCAGUCUGUGUAUUUUUUUUUCUUACACCUAGAAAUUCUUUUCUCUGUAUAUAGAACCUCAGGCACUUAGUUCCUUUUUAUCACUAUUUGUCAAUAGC
rnacentral:lncRNA from 1 species